ensembl:lncRNA
UAGUAGUGGUAGUACUAGUAGUAAUAGUGCUGGUGGUGGUAGUAGUAGUGGGUAGUACUAGUAGUAAUAGUGCUGAUGGUGGUAGUAGUGGUAGUACUAGUAGUAAUAGUGCUGGUGGUGGUAGUAGUAGUUGUAGUACUAGUACUAAUAGUGGUGGUGGUGUAGUAGUAGUGGUAGUACUAGUACUAAUAGUGGUGGUGGUGGUAGUGAUUGUAGUACUAGUAGUAAUAGUGCUGGUGGUGGUAGUAGUGGUAGUACUAGUAAUAAUAGUGCUGCUGGUGGUGGUAGUGGUGGUAGUAGUAGUAGUAGUAAUAGGUGUGGUGGUAGUAGUAGUAGUAAUAGGUGUGGUAGUAGUAGUAGUAGUAAUAGGUGUGGUGGUAGUAGUAGUAGUAAUAGGUGUGGUGGUGGUAGUAGUAGUAGUAGUAGUAGUAGUAGUAGUAGUAGAAGUAAUAGUAGUGAUAGUACCACAAAUAAUAGUGGCAGUGCAAAAUCAGUACAGGGAUGAGAUGAACUGAAAGUCCACAGAGAUCUUAAACCUUUCAGAGAAGGAAGUCUGACAUGCCACAAGUGGACUCAGGAGAGUCUCUCCUCUCCGUCACUGUUUCUCC